rnacentral:rRNA from 1 species
AUUGAACGCUGGCGGCAGGCCUAACACAUGCAAGUCGAGCGGCAGCGGAAAGUAGCUUGCUACUUUGCCGGCGAGCGGCGGACGGGUGAGUAAUGUCUGGGAAACUGCCUGAUGGAGGGGGAUAACUACUGGAAACGGUGGCUAAUACCGCAUAACGUCGCAAGACCAAAGUGGGGGACCUUCGGGCCUCACGCCAUCGGAUGUGCCCAGAUGGGAUUAGCUAGUAGGUGGGGUAAUGGCUCACCUAGGCGACGAUCCCUAGCUGGUCUGAGAGGAUGACCAGCCACACUGGAACUGAGACACGGUCCAGACUCCUACGGGAGGCAGCAGUGGGGAAUAUUGCACAAUGGGCGCAAGCCUGAUGCAGCCAUGCCGCGUGUGUGAAGAAGGCCUUCGGGUUGUAAAGCACUUUCAGCGAGGAGGAAGGCAUCACACUUAAUACGUGUGGUGAUUGACGUUACUCGCAGAAGAAGCACCGGCUAACUCCGUGCCAGCAGCCGCGGUAAUACGGAGGGUGCAAGCGUUAAUCGGAAUUACUGGGCGUAAAGCGCACGCAGGCGGUUUGUUAAGUCAGAUGUGAAAUCCCCGCGCUUAACGUGGGAACUGCAUUUGAAACUGGCAAGCUAGAGUCUUGNAGAGGGGGGUAGAAUUCCAGGUGUAGCGGUGAAAUGCGUAGAGAUCUGGAGGAAUACCGGUGGCGAAGGNGGCCCCCUGGAC